AUGCCUUUCAUUCCAUCGCACCUGACAAACCACAGCGAGAUUAUCUCUGUAGCUACUGAAACAUAUACAGUUAGACCCUGUUUGUUUGUUUGUUUGUGUGUUUGUUGACCUGACUGAGCUGAGUGGAGAAAAACAAGGUGCAGGUGAUAUAAAAGAUAAAUGCUGUGACACUGCUGCAACAGUUGGACGCAUCGGUGAGCUGACAGAGAGGCUCCGGGAUCUCUGAAUGGUGACUGAAGCUUUGAUUUAAAUCCUGGAAGUCGCAUCUGCAUCCAGCAGCUACUCAUCAUGCCACUCGGCCACAGGAGGCAGCCCAGUAUUGAGCUGCUGGAAUUGAUGGGAGUGGUAAGAGAGAAUGGCAACGAACAAUCAACCCUCCCUCCUGUGCACACGCCUCUAUCAUAUGACUACGUUCUGGUUGCCAAAACAAUUGAUAAACAGGAAAGAGAGACUUUCAAGAAGCAAACUGAAUACAUUGAAGAACUGAAAAAAAAGAACUUGAAAGUUACUAAAAUUAUAGACGAUGAUCUCGUCUUCUACGGGAUUCAAGCGCCUAAAGAAAUAUUUGAGAAGUACAGGUAUCUGCUCAAAGUGUCUGAUGCUUGUAACUGGAGCUCAGAUCAGAACAUCGUACCACUCAGCACCAGGAUAAGGAUUGUCCACUUCAUCUUGACUCACACCCCUAUACGUUCAGGAGAGGGUUUGCGGGAUCUUAUGAAGAUGAAGGUUUUUGAAGCAAGGUUUUGCUUGCAUGAGAAAAAGAAACAGCGAGAGCUGAAGGAGAGCUGGGCACGAUGGACGGCCUGUCUCCAAGGGCAACCCAUCACUGCCGUCAGGAACUACUUUGGGGAGAAGGUGGCGUUGUACUACCUGUGGUUGGGCUGGUACACAUAUCUGCUCAUCCCGCCUGCUCUCAUCGGGGUCAUCGUCUUCCUUUAUGGCCUGGCCUUCUUCAACAGCUCACCCCUCAUAAAGGAGGUUUGUGAGGCCGACACGAUCAUGUGUCCCCUUUGUGACAGGAGAUGCAAAGUGUGGCAGCUCUCCGAAACCUGCACAUACGCCAAGGUGAGCCUGCUGUUUGAUAAUAACGGCACCGUGCUCUUUGCAAUGUUCAUGGCGGUGUGGGCAACACUGUUUUUGGAGUUCUGGAAGAGACAUCGGGCUUCCUAUGUGUGCGAAUGGAAAGUGUCUGAUUGGUGUGAGGAAGAGGAGGAACUGAUCCUGGAAAUUGUGAAUGACGCCAACUGUGAGCCAAAAGAAUACAAGCACUCGUAUCUCCGCAGCACUCUGGUUUUGAUCUGUGUCACAGCUAUGAUAUUAGUGAUCAUUGGCCUGACUCAUGCCUUGGUGGUGUUCAGGGUGAUCGCAGCAGUCCUCUUGGCUGAAGGAUCAUGGGAGUUUUUGAGGACCCACUCCAACAGCGGAGCGAUGAUGCUGGGGGCCGUCGUCCAUUACCUCAUCAUCACUAUAAUGACGCGGAUCAACAGGAUUGUUGCCAUGAAGCUCUGUGAAUUAGAGAAAACCAGAUCAUUUGCUACCACAGAGAAGAGUUUCACUGUCAAGAUGUUCACCUUCCAGUUCUUCACCUACUUCUCCUCCCUCUUCUACGUCGCCUUUUUUCUCGGCAGGAUAAAUGGCCAUCCUGGCGGUUAUGUCCGAAUUUCAGGGAAAUGGAGGCUAGAGGAGUGUCAUCCCAGUGGGUGUCUCACAGACCUGUUCAUCCAAAUGGCCAUUAUAAUGGUACUGAAGCAAACUAUCAGCAAUGUCUUUGAGUUCACCGGGCCCUGGUUCUGCAGGUGGUUGAAGGGACGACAAACCCAGAAGCUGCAGAGGAAAUGUGCCCACUGCUACCUGAAAGAUGAAUCAGAGGCAAAACACGGAGCUGAACUGUGUGAUAACUGCAAGCUCCGGGACUGGGUCAGCAACUACCGUCUCAAUGAUGUCGACUCCUUCAGCCUGUUCCAUGAGUUCCUGGAGAUGGUGAUCCAGUUCAGCUUUACCACCAUAUUCGUGGCAGCGUUUCCUCUCGCUCCUCUGCUAGCCCUCAUUAAUAAUAUCAUUGAGAUACGCCUGGACGCCAUUAAAAUGGUCACUCUGGAGCGCAGACUGGUUCCCAAGAAAACCAACGAUAUUGGUGUGUGGAUCGACGUGUUGGAGGCUAUCGGUGUCUUAGCUGUCAUUGCUAACGGGCUGGUCAUCGGCGUGUCUUCAGACUUCAUCCCUCGCUUGGUGUACCGUUACCGCUACGGCCCGUGUGCCAACGGCACAGCAACAGAUAUCGACUGCAUGGCCGGAUACAUCAACAACUCUCUCUCCAUUGCACGAAUGGAUGACCAGAACAUCAUCAACGAGUUUUUACCCAGUCAGAUGAUCACUCAGGAUGGCAUGAAUGUUUCUUCCUGCAGGUAUAAAGACUACAGGAGCAAUGAAGACUUCAGUUUUACUCCACAGUUCUGGCUCAUUCUAGCUGUGCGCUUUGCAUUUGUCAUCCUGUUUGAGCACGUUGUCGUCAUAUGCAAGUUCAUUGCAGCCUGGUUUGUGCCGAGCGCUCCCAUGCAGGUGAAGAAUGAUCGACUCUUUGAUAAACUCAACAGACUGAAAGAGGAACUCAGAAAAGGGCAAUCUUGUAGCAGGAGAGACAUCAGAGAGCUGGUCCAAAGCACACUGGAGCACACGGAUUUAAGCAGACAUUCUGACUUGUGGGAAUCAUUACAUUAAAACUUUUGAGAAACUUCACCCUCACCUUUUAUCAUGCGACGGUGUGGUUUCUUCAUAUUCCACCCAAAUGUAAUGUUCAUUUGAAGCGUGACUGCAUUCAUUGCACAUUUCCCCCCUGAGGACAUGAGCCCAGUGUUGCCUUGUGCAUUAAAGUGUCCAGACUAUCACAGUGUUGAGUCAGUUCAAAGUCAUUCAUCAGCUCUCUGCAGAGUUCAGACGGAGGGCUCUCACUCUCUUUUAUUGUUUGCAGUCAAAUGUUAAGUGAUGGCUCUUUUCUCAUUUAUGAAACGGACAUUGAAGACAUAACAAGUGUACAGUAACUGAUUUUACUGACCACGCGAUUGUUCUUAUUCUAUUGUCAGAAUGCACUGAUAGCUUACUGUUGGAUCUCUAUAUUUGUGAGACGCAUGUGAGUGUUUUUAUUGAAAGCAUACAGAUAAUUUAUACUGCUACUGCACAUACAGUACCGAUUGUGUGUUACGAUGUUGCCUUAUAUUGUAAAGAAUCGCUGUGAUGAUUGUCAUUAUUGCUGACAAAAUCUGUUAGUGUCUUUUGUAAACCAGACACGAGAAUGUUUUGCAUAAUAAUGUUUUAUAUUAUUGAAUAAAAGAGGAAAACUUUGGCCUCA